GAGGUCCUGAAAACUCCUCCUCCAAAAUCUUCAACAAACCUCUAUCUGUAUCAAGGCCAAGCAAAAUUAAAAGAUAAAACAGCACCAAAACCACCAAAAAUCUAAUAAUAGAUUGAAUUGUAUAUUUCUAGGAUAUUGGACAUGCGAUUACACUGAAUGGUUGAAAAAGCUGCAUGAGCGAGAAUCAGGACUCCAAAUGCGCCAAUUAAAAAGCCUAAACCCAUUUUAUUAAC
rnacentral:misc_RNA from 1 species